UACCGGCAGCUCAAGUGAUGACCGAUUUUAUUGGGCCUAAAGCGUCCGUAGCCGGCCACGAAGGUCCAUCGGGAAAUCCGCCAGCUCAACUGGCGGGCGUCCGGUGGAAACCACGUGGCUUGGGAUCGGAAGGCUCGAGGGGUACGUCCGGGGUAGGAGUGAAAUCCUGUAAUCCUGGACGGACCACCGAUGGCGAAAGCACCUCGAGAAGACGAAUCCGACGGUGAGGGACGAAAGCUAGGGUCUCGAACCGGAUUAGAUACCCGGGUAGUCCUAGCCGUAAACGAUGCUCGCUAGGUGUGGCACAGGCUACGCGCCUGUGCUGUGCCGUAGGGAGCCGUGAAGCGAGCCGCCUGGGAAGUACGUCCGCAAGGAUGAAACUUAAAGGAAUUGGCGGGGGAGCACUACAACCGGAGGAGCCUGCGGUUU
rnacentral:rRNA from 1 species